rnacentral:lncRNA from 1 species
UUCCCCCAUCCAGUCUGACCGAUCUGUUGUUUUAAGUCUGCUGUGAAGACGGAGCGUAAGCGAAUUUUCAACGGCAUGCCGAGGAAUUAAGCAGCCGGGUGAUCGGAGCGUCGAGGGCUGGAUCGCUCAGAAAUCCAAUCCGCGGAUUGAGGCCUAAAUUCCCGAAGCGGAUACAUGGUUGUGUUUAUCAGUUGACAUGAGAAGAGAAGAUACUAAACCGAGUCGGGACGGUUUUGCUGCCGAUCGUUUGAGACAGGCCCU